UACAGAGGUGGCAAGCGUUGUUCGGAAUUACUGGGCGUAAAGGGCGCGUAGGCGGCCAUCUAAGUCAGACGUGAAAUCCCCCGGCUUAACCUGGGAACUGCGUCUGAUACUGGACGGCUUGAGUAUGGGAGAGGGAUGUAGAAUUCCAGGUGUAGCGGUGAAAUGCGUAGAUAUCUGGAGGAAUACCGGUGGCGAAGGCGGCAUCCUGGACCAUAACUGACGCUGAGGCACGAAAGCGUGGGUAG
rnacentral:rRNA from 1 species